ensembl:snoRNA
UGGUCCAUCCUAAUUCUUGCUGGUCAGUUUGUGGCCUGACAGGUUUUACUUAUUGAACAGAGGACCCUAGAACAAUAAGGAGCAAUUUCAGUGGUGUCCCAAUACUCUACUUAAGAUUC